CACCAAGCUUAGUAUAGUAUCCAAGAUCUUUCCUCUACACAGUGGUGGGGGCACAACAUGAACAUAGUUGUCUGGGACUUCAAAGCUCACAUCAUUUCUACAAAAUUGUCAGUUCCAACACACACACACACACAAUCCCAAACACAAUAAGAUGAUGAGGGAAGUAUGGUAACAUUUAUUGAGUUCUUACUAUAUGCCAUAGGCAGUGCUAAUGAUUUUAUGUAUAUCACUUAAUAUUGGCUCUUUUGGGUUUCUGUGAAUGUUAAGUAUUUCCAUUUCAGGGGAGAAAGGAAUUUAUACUUAAAGAAGUUUUUCAGAUUUUCAAGGUCACCAAGUUAGUGAGCAGGGCAUAUAUUAAUGGAGGCUGUAGCAAAGUAAUUUCAGAAGCAGUUGCUCCACUGACUACAGUGAUGUGACUGAAUGGAAAUACUCUUAAUGGAGAAGAAAGGAAUAAAAGAUGCCUUCAGGCCAACUCUCCUUGAUCCCCACAGAGUUGCCUCAGCACACCUUUGCAUACCGGCUACUGCUUCCUCACCAUCUCUUCUGCAAUAUCCUUCAGACCUCCUCUGGAAUGUCUUCACUUCCUCUUUCUUAAUCCAUGACCCUGCCCCUUCUUAAAACCCUUCCUUAAAACUUCAGAUCAAAUUAACACUUGUUCCUCUAACUUGUAAAGUGUGGACUUUGAAAGGGUCUUUGAAGUAUAAAUGUCAUCUGGUUAGUCCUCAUCCUGAAAGUGGCAUUUUGUAUGAAUCUCCAGGGAAGGCAAGGACAUUCCUUCUGGGUGAUAGGAGAAGGAAACUGAAAGAGAUUUUGAGUUGAUAAAUGGCUAAAAAGCACAUCAUUGUUAUUCUUUGCAAAGUCUGCAGAACUCAGAGUUAAAAAUUAUUCAUAGAGAAAAACAAAUUGCAAAUGUUUUAUUUUCCAAGUAUUACAUCAAGUUAAAAAUUAUUGUGAGGAGUGCGGUCAACAUAUGAUGCUGUCACUGCUACUAUCUCUCAAAGAUGGCAGCUCUAUAACUCACUUUUGUAUGAAGUGGAUUAAUUCAUUUCUUGUGCAUUCUGUGAGCAUUCAUUCUGUUCUCAGCCCAGGAAAAUCCCAGAAUGUGAGAAAGAGCUGGAAGGGACCUCAGGAAUCAUCUCACACCCCCUGCUCCUAUUACUCUCAUGUAAAAAUCAGACAAAUCACUGGUGUCACAAGUAAAAUAGUUGUGCACCUUCUCAUUCACUGCCAUGUAACAGGUGAAAAAAUAAACAUGUUGAUACUUAUAUUGAGCCUACACCAUAGCCCACAGGCAUGUUAAAACUGUGGGAAUCAAUUGGAGUUGAGAAUUUUUAAAAAGUCAAUAAAAGAUCCCAAACACAUUCCUCUUCCUAACCCAGUUCAUUAUUCUCAGGAAAAAUUGUAGCAGAUUAUGAGGCAGAAGGCCUGACCAUACCUGGUCACACUUGGCUAUGUGGGGGAACUUGGCAAUUAAUUACCUGUUACUGUGCUCUGGUUUUUCUAGCUGUCAAUUAGAGAAAAUGGUACUUGUCCCCAUAGAGCUAAGAGAUCAAAAGGGAUACACUUGUAAAUUCCAACAUGGUUUACAAACACAGUAACAUUAGUUAACUGUGCUUGCUCUUUGGUGCAAGUAAAGAUAAAGAGGUAAAGACAGUAAUAACUGCAUUUUUCCAUGGAUAAGUUGAACAUUUUUCAAUUCUACGAAUAGCACAUUUCAACAACGAGGAUGAAAAUGUUGGUUAAUCUUUUCCACUGAGCUUGUAUUAAACCCUUGCAUACGAAGCUUCUGCUACUACCCACUAUCCAUUCUUAAACAUCUUUCUGCUUGAU